GACGAACGCUGGCGGCGUGCUUAACACAUGCAAGUCGAACGGAAAGGCCCGGCUUUUGUGGGGUGCUCGAGUGGCGAACGGGUGAGUAACACGUGAGUAACCUGCCCUUGACUUUGGGAUAACUUCAGGAAACUGGGGCUAAUACCGGAUAGGAGCUCCUGCUGCAUGGUGGGGGUUGGAAAGUGUCGGCGGUGGGGGAUGGACUCGCGGCUUAUCAGCUUGUUGGUGGGGUAGUGGCUUACCAAGGCUUCGACGGGUAGCCGGCCUGAGAGGGUGACCGGCCACAUUGGGACUGAGAUACGGCCCAGACUCCUACGGGAGGCAGCAGUGGGGAAUAUUGCACAAUGGGCGGAAGCCUGAUGCAGCAACGCCGCGUGCGGGAUGACGGCCUUCGGGUUGUAAACCGCUUUCGCCUGUGACGAAGCGUGAGUGACGGUAAUGGGUAAAGAAGCACCGGCUAACUACGUG
rnacentral:rRNA from 1 species